rnacentral:tRNA from 1 species
AGAAAUAUGUCUGACAAAAGAGUUACUUUGAUAGAGUAAAUCAUAGGGGCUAAUAUCCCCUUAUUUCUA